CCAACCCCUAGAGGAGUUAGAUGCAGGUGUGGCUGCUGUGUCACAUGUGUGUCAGAAGGUGGAAGAGGAGAGAGGCUAUGUCUACCCUUAGUGUCUCCACCUCUGAACAUCUGAAUGAUUAGUAGCUAACAUU